UGGCACCAGUACUGGCGGUGGC
rnacentral:miRNA from 15 species